GGUGGUGCCAGCAUGACGUUUUUCAGAGUCCACACAGAACAGUCUUGGUAGCUGUGACCAGAACAAGAGAGGAGUGAGGUCAAGAGAAUCCGAAUUAGCACAGGCUAUCUGGCAAAAGGAAUGAGUAACCGAAAAAAUUUGGAAGGAUUCUGGGCCCAAAUUUUUUCAGAUGUAUCUUUUAAAAUGCCAAUUCUAGGGGCUAGGAAUGUAGCUCAAUAUAAGAAUGCUUGCUUAGGACCGAGAUUCAUUCCCCAGCAAAGAAAAAAAAAUUUUGAGAAAUAUUUACCACUAAGUGCAGUUUAUGCCAGAAUGAUGGCAGAAAACACUGAUCAGCAAACGAACCAAAAGCAAAGACCUUGAUCUUAUAAUGAAGAUACUUAAGUAAAAAGACUCAUAUUUUAAAUUGGCAUAGAAUGUUUUUAGGUUGUAUAUAUCUUUACAUAAUCCCUUUUUAACUAAGAUGUUAUGUGUACACAUGGAUUUGAACCCAGGGCCUCAUGCAUGCUCAACACAUGUUCUACCACCAAGCUACUCCAGCCCCUUAACUGACUUUUUAAAACUAACUGACCUACCAACUAACCUACCUUCCUUAAUAAUGUCAGAUAAUAGAGUUUCUUUAUUCUUUAUAAAAGAUUAAUCUUUAUGGCUCUUUCAUUACACCUUUAUCUAUAUUUCACAUACCAAAAAAUCAACCCUAUCAAAGUAUAUACUUCAUAAAGGUGUACAACAUCACCACCACUACUUAAUUCCAUAAUAUUUUUAUCCCCCCAAAAAGAGACCCUGUAUACAUUAGCAGUCACUCCCAUAUCCUCCUCCCCUAAGCCCUGGCAAUCACUUAUCAACUUUCUGACUCUAUGGAUUCGCCUAAAAUAUCUACCUUUUAGCUGUUAUCAAUAAUGCUGUGUAAACAUUUGUGUAUAAGUUUUUGUCUAGACAUAUCUUUUCAGUUCUUCUAGGUAAAUCCUUAGGAGUAGAAUACAGGGUCAGAUGGUAAUUCUGCUUAACUUUUUGAGGAACUUCCAAACUGUUUUUCAUAGCAGCUAUACCUUUUUAUAUUCCUACCACAAUGUACAAGAGUUCCAGUUUCUCAAAAUUCUGGCCAGAUGCUGUGAUUUAAAACUAUCUCCCAGUGGCCCAUGUGUUAAAGACUUGAUCAUCAGCCUGUGGUGGAACCUUUAAUAGGGCUGGGUAGAAGAAAGUUAGGUCUUAUGGAUGUGUCGUUGAAGGGGAUCUUGGGAACCUAGGGAUUCCCCUCUCCCUUUCUCUCAAAUUCUCUCAAGUUCAACACACACACACACACACACACACACACAUCAUACACCCCACUUCCUGGUCUCCAUAAGGUUGGCUGUGUAGUUCCAUAACACCCUGCCAUGGUAUUCUAUUUAUUUAUUUCUUUGUUGGUUCUUUUUAGUUGUACAUGACAGUAUAAUGCAAUUUGACAUAAUUACACAAGCAUGGAAUAUAUCUUAUUCUAGUUAGAAUCCAUUCUUGUGGAAUUCACUAUGAUGUUUUCAUAUAUGUACAUAAGAAAAUUAUGUCAGAUUCCUUUUCUUGUCUCCCCUCCCUUUCCUCUAUUCCCCAUUAUCUAAUCUACUAAACUUCUCCCCCUGCCCCGCCCCCACUUAAGUGGGUUAGCCUUCACAUAUCAGAGAAAACAUUCAACCUUUGGCAUUAUGGGAUUGGCUUAUUGAUUUAGCAUGACACAGGCCCAGAAGCAAUGGAACCAAUUGACCAUGAACUGAAACAUCUGAAACCAUGAGCCAAAAUUAACCUUUUUUCUUUCUUUUUUUUUUUCAUAUUUAUUUGUUAUUUGUAGAUGGACACAAUACCUUUUUUUUUUCAUUUUUAUGUGGUACUUAGGAUCCAAACCAGGGCCUUGCAUGUGCUAGGCGAGCACUCUACCACUGAGCCACAACCCCAGCCCAAACCUUUUUUCUUUUUAAGUGUUUUAUCUUAGAUAUUUUGUCACAGAUACAGCUGCUUUAUUUCAUUUUAUUUUAUUGUAGCUAACCUGGUUGGUGUGAAGUGAUCUUUCGUGGUUUUGAUUUGUAUUUCCCUAAUGACUAUUGGUAUUGAACAUUUUUUUAUGUGCUCCUUGGUCAUUUGUAUAUCUUCUUUGAAGAAAUAUCUACUCAAAUUCAUGGCCAAUUUUUAUUGGGAUUUUCUUUUAUUGUUGAUUUAUGAAUUCUUUAUAUAAUUCUGGAUACAAAUCCCUUAUUGGAUAUGUGAUUUGCAAAUGUUUUAUCAUUCUGUGUGUAUGUGUGUGUUUCUUGAAGCACAAAAGGUUUACAUUUGCUGAAGUCCAAUUUUAUCUUCUUUUGAUGGUGCUCUUAGUGUCACAUCUAAGAAAUCAUUGCCUAAUAUAAGUUCUCAGAGAUUUACUCCUAUGUUUUCUUCUAAGAGUUUUCAGAUAGCUCAUAUAUUACAUUGAUUAUUUUAAUCUACAACUUGGAAUGAAUGGAAUUUAGUAUUAACAUUAUUUACUUUCUUACUUCCUCCUCCUAUUAUCUAGGAAACAAAGGGCACUUUCAUUCUAAGUUCAUUCACAAAUAUGAGACUGGUUACUGCCCCAUGAGGGGUGAGCAAGAGAGCUAUGAGGAUAUUCCUGGGAGCCCACUUUGAAGUAGGAGUGGUGAUAGAAACAAGCCCUAGCCAUUAGCUUCAUGUGGAGCUGGAAGAACAAAAUUUCAGCCAUUCCUUAAGAGGAAGUGUGAGAGACACACAAAAGUACUGCCAAUUUGCAAGUCCAGGCACUGAAUGGAUCUAUCUAUUCCAAGUUCUAAAGUGUGUUUCCCAGAGUUCAAGUGGAUAUGGUUUUCAUAUGCUUCUACAGUGAGUAAAUACACAUUUCAUAGUCCAGUGAAAUAAUACCUGUUAUUUUAUAAAUGUUGACACUAAUAGGUGGCAGUGAAAUAAUGACUGUAUUAUAAGUUUGCAUGAGUUUCUUUCUAAAAAUUUAUCUUGGAAUUCAUCAAUAUGCUGUGAUAAAUAUCUGUUACCCAUUUUGAACUUAAUAGACUACAUGGAAAUAUUUAAGAAUACUUUUGAGUCAUCUCAAAGUAUUAACUAUCAAAUUUAUUUAGGCAAUAACCUCUGUGGCUAUUUCAUGAGUUUGAUCACCAUACUCAUUAGGUAUUAGAUCUUCAAAGAACAGCAUUGUUAAUUAUAUUUUUAAUGAUAUAGGAAUAAGCUAUGAUUCAUUUUAGCUACUACUGAUACCUGCUAUUAGGCAAGGAGAUGCAACUAGGAAGUAAAAUUUCUAGUUGACUAUUGCAAUUAUAAACAGAUUGAUGGAGCAAAGCUAUUUUCAUAUAGGCCCAUAUUAAUCAAAAUUGUAUUGAAUAAGGGCUGGUGAUAUAGCUCAGUUGGUAGAGUGCCUGCCUUGCAUGCACAAGCCCUGAGUUCAAUCCCCAGCACCGCCAAAAAAAAAAAAAUUCUAUUGAGUAAGAAAUUCUAUAUUUAGGUGGGUUCAAAAGCAUAUAGUACCUGAUAGUUCUUCUUUUUUUAAAAAAAAAAAAAAAAAGCACCCNGAGGAUAUUCCUGGGAGCCCACUUUGAAGUAGGAGUGGUGAUAGAAACAAGCCCUAGCCAUUAGCUUCAUGUGGAGCUGGAAGAACAAAAUUUCAGCCAUUCCUUAAGAGGAAGUGUGGGAGACACACAAAAGUACUGCCAAUUUGCAAGUCCAGGCACUGAAUGGAUCUAUCUAUUCCAAGUUCUAAAGUGUGUUUCCCAGAGUUCAAGUGGAUAUGGUUUUCAUAUGCUUCUACAGUGAGUAAAUACACAUUUCAUAGUCCAGUGAAAUAAUACCUGUUAUUUUAUAAAUGUUGACACUAAUAGGUGGCAGUGAAAUAAUGACUGUAUUAUAAGUUUGCAUGAGUUUCUUUCUAAAAAUUUAUCUUGGAAUUCAUCAAUAUGCUGUGAUAAAUAUCUGUUACCCAUUUUGAACUUAAUAGACUACAUGGAAAUAUUUAAGAAUACUUUUGAGUCAUCUCAAAGUAUUAACUAUCAAAUUUAUUUAGGCAAUAACCUCUGUGGCUAUUUCAUGAGUUUGAUCACCAUACUCAUUAGGUAUUAGAUCUUCAAAGAACAGCAUUGUUAAUUAUAUUUUUAAUGAUAUAGGAAUAAGCUAUGAUUCAUUUUAGCUACUACUGAUACCUGCUAUUAGGCAAGGAGAUGCAACUAGGAAGUAAAAUUUCUAGUUGACUAUUGCAAUUAUAAACAGAUUGAUGGAGCAAAGCUAUUUUCAUAUAGGCCCAUAUUAAUCAAAAUUGUAUUGAAUAAGGGCUGGUGAUAUAGCUCAGUUGGUAGAGUGCCUGCCUUGCAUGCACAAGCCCUGAGUUCAAUCCAAAGCACCGCCAAAAAAAAAAUAAAAUUCUAUUGAGUAAGAAAUUCUAUAUUUAGGUGGGUUCAAAAGCAUAUAGUACCUGAUAGUUCUUCUUUUUUUAAAAAAAAAAAAAAAAAGCACCCUACUGACUAAGCUAUAUUCUCAGCCCUGAUCUGUAAUCUCUCUUUUUUUUUUAAUAUUUUAUUUACAUUUUAGUUUUCAGCAGACACAACAUCUUUGUAUGUGGUGCUGAGGAUCGAACCCGGGGCGCACCCAUGCCAGGCGAGUGCGCUACCACUUGAGCCACAUCCCCAGCCCCCUGAUAGUCCUUCUAAUAAAAAAUGUUAUAUGGGGUAUGGUGUUACAAUUAGUGUGUUUUUAAUACCUAGGGCUAUGCUCAUUUGGGUUUUUUUUUUUUUUAACCUAUUGAUGUUUCAAGGAGAAUCAAUAGAUUUAUUUGGAGAAAGAGGAAUUGACAGAGUUAUUUUUAACAAAAUUGCCCAGACUCAUGAAGGAGUAUGAAUGAACAACUCUGCAGAAUAAGGAAACAUCCUUAAAUGCAGCAGAUAUCUAAGGUAUUAGAAGCAGGUAGAAAUGCCUCGUUUGGGAUUGGACUGAAUCAGGAUACAACUGAGAACUAGAAACUUGGGAAUCACAGUUCAGUAAUGCUCGUUGACCGAUGAUCCAUAUCACAAAGGAAAGAACUUAGUUUGAAAUGGUUUCCUGACAAUAUCUUUCCUUAGGUUAAGUCUAUUUCAAGAAAGGGAUCUGGAUCCCUUCGAAGACCAACAGAAAUUAUUGUAAACCACCAUGUCUCAAUGCCAUUUAGAUAUGCUGUAGUAGGGUAACUUACAGUUCUAUUGCAGUUAUUAAAUUCAAAAUAUUCAAAAAUGAAAAGUAAAUCUCCUUCUCAUCCUUUUCCUGGGUCUGUUUCUGGGUUCUCUCUGAUCUUUAUCUUUUACAUUUAGAGCAACAAUCCAGCUGGAAUUGAUUGAUUUUUAUUGGUGGUGUGAGAUGGGGUCUAACUCUCCCUCCUUUCACACACACACACACACACACACACACAAACAAUUAAUCUAGUACUACAAGUGCCACAUUUACAGUAAUACUUUUGCCAUAUAUUAUGUGUCUACAUGUGGUGUCUCUGUUCUGAUCUAUUGACCUAUUAGUAUCUUCAUCAGUAUCAUACCGUCUCAAUUACUAUAGACUUGUAUAGACUUGUAUUGCCGCAGUCUGUCUGGGCACAAAAUAACCGAGCCACCACACAAGCCUUGUAGAUUCAAACAGCAACUCUUUAUUCCCGAACUC
rnacentral:lncRNA from 1 species